GAUGAACGCUGGCGGCGUGCCUAAUACAUGCAAGUCGAGCGAACGGACGAGAAGCUUGCUUCUCUGAUGUUAGCGGCGGACGGGUGAGUAACACGUGGAUAACCUACCUAUAAGACUGGGAUAACUUCGGGAAACCGGAGCUAAUACCGGAUAAUAUUUUGAACCGCAUGGUUCAAAAGUGAAAGACGGUCUUGCUGUCACUUAUAGAUGGAUCCGCGCUGCAUUAGCUAGUUGGUAAGGUAACGGCUUACCAAGGCAACGAUGCAUAGCCGACCUGAGAGGGUGAUCGGCCACACUGGAACUGAGACACGGUCCAGACUCCUACGGGAGGCAGCAGUAGGGAAUCGUCCGCAAUGGGCGAAAGCCUGACGGAGCAACGCCGCGUGAGUGAUGAAGGUCUUCGGAUCGUAAAACUCUGUUAUUAGGGAAGAACAUAUGUGUAAGUAACUGUGCACAUCUUGACGGUACCUAAUCAGAAAGCCACGGCUAACUACG
rnacentral:rRNA from 1 species